GAUGAACGCUGGCGGCGUGCCUAACACAUGCAAGUCGAGCGAACAGACGAGGAGCUUGCUCCUUUGACGUUAGCGGCGGACGGGUGAGUAACACGUAGGUAACCUACCUAUAAGACUGGGAUAACUUCGGGAAACCGGAGCUAAUACCGGAUAAUAUUUCGAACCGCAUGGUUCGAUAGUGAAAGAUGGCUUUGCUAUCACUUAUAGAUGGACCUGCGCCGGAUUAGUUAGUUGGUAAGGUAACGGCUUACCAAGGCAACGAUCCGUAGCCGACAGGAGAGGGGGAUCGCCCAACUUGGACUUGAGACACGGUCCAGCCCCCUACGGGAGGCAGCAGUAGGGAAUUUGCCGCAAUGGGGGAAAGCUGGACGGAGCAACGCCGCGGGGGUGAUGAGGGCUUCCGGAUGUUAAAACGCUGUUAUGGGGAAAGAACAAACGUGUAAGUAACUGUGCUGGUCUUGAGGUUACCUAAGCAGAAGGCCCGGCUAACUUCCUU
rnacentral:rRNA from 1 species